GUCUAUGGCCAUAUCACCCUGAAUGUGCCCAAUCUCAUCUGAUCUCAGAAGUUAAGCAGAAUGGGCCUGGUUAGUACUUGGAUGGAAGACAGAUCUUCAAAAGAGACUGCUCAGAGACAAGCAGUUUGCAGACA
rnacentral:rRNA from 1 species